CUAGCCGUAAACGGUGUGCACUUGGUGUGGGAGGAUUUAUCCCCUUCCGUGCCGUAGCUAACGCGUUAAGUGCACCGCCUGGGGAGUACGGCCGCAAGGCUAAAACUCAAAGAAAUUGACGGGGGCCCGCACAAGCGGUGGAGCAUGUGGCUUAAUUCGAUGCAACGCGAAGAACCUUACCAAGGCUUGACAUGCAAUUGCACGUCCAGCGAAAGCUGGACUCCUUCGAGGGUAUUGCACAGGUGC
rnacentral:rRNA from 1 species